rnacentral:rRNA from 1 species
UCUCUCCUCCUUUUCUCAGCAGUGAGGAAUAUUGGUCAAUGGGCGCGAGCCUGAACCAGCCAAGUCGCGUGAGGGAAGACGGUCCUAUGGAUUGUAAACCUCUUUUGUCGGAGAGCAAAAACCGGGACGUGUCCCGGACUGCGUGUAUCCGAAGAAAAAGCAUCGGCUAACUCCGUGCCAGCAGCCGCGGUAAUACGGAGGAUGCGAGCGUUAUCCGGAUUUAUUGGGUUUAAAGGGUUCGUAGGCGGUCCGUUAAGUCAGCGGUAAAACUGCGGGGCUCAACCCCGUCGAGCCGUUGAAACUGG